rnacentral:miRNA from 1 species
CAAUGGCUCAGUGCAGUGCCGUU